rnacentral:siRNA from 1 species
AGAGUACUUUAGGCUAGCGAGA